rnacentral:rRNA from 1 species
GACGAACGCUGGCGGCGUGCCUAAUACAUGCAAGUAGAACGCACAGUUUAUACCGUAGCUUGCUACACCAUAAACUGUGAGUUGCGAACGGGUGAGUAACGCGUAGGUAACCUGCCUGGUAGCGGGGAUAACUAUUGGAAACGAUAGCUAAUACCGCAUAAUAUUGAUUAUUGCAUGAUAAUUGAUUGAAAGAUGCUAUUGCAUCACUACCAGAUGGACCUGCGUUGUAUUAGCUAGUAGGUGAGGUAACGGCUCACCUAGGCGACGAUACAUAGCCGACCUGAGAGGGUGAUCGGCCACACUGGGACUGAGACACGGCCCAGACUCCUACGGGAGGCAGCAGUAGGGAAUCUUCGGCAAUAGACGAAAGUCUGACCGAGCAACGCCGCGUGAGUGAAGAAGGUUUUCGGAUCGUAAAGCUCUGUUGUAAGAGAAGAACGGGUGUGAGAGUGGAAAGUUCACACUGUGACGGUAUCUUACCAGAAAGGGACGGCUAACUACGUG